UGCGUAAUGGCGGCGGCUGGCCUGACGAC
rnacentral:sRNA from 1 species